AGGUUUUCAUGGUUUAUUUUUACAGGUUUAACAACAUCACUUACACCAGCCCCACCUUUGCCCUCACAUGGUGGUCAUGUCUGAGCCGCACUGAUGUUGUUAAGAUCACAGUUUCCCUUGCAGCAGUCCAAAACGCCAUUUCAGGUUUUCAGAGCAUUUCAGGUUUUCAGUGAGGUCCCAAGGAGGAAGGUGGAGGAAAUAGGGGAUGGGGAAUAUAGAGGGUAGGGAUAUGGUGGGGGAAGAGCAUGAAUUGUAAUAGUCCAACAAUACAUCUUCCCUGAAAAUGUGCUCUAUUACACCAGUAAUUUCUAAUGAAAAACUUCAUUCUUCACACACUGUGGUUAAGCAUCAUCAAAUCAGUACUGAAAAGACCUUUGAUCGUAUUUGCAAGAUGCACUAAAAUGAACUUUCACUGACCAAGAUUUCAAAGUUUGUAAUUAAUACUCUUGAAAAAUCCCUGACUAAUCUGUCAACUCUCAACGUCUUUAACCACACAGUUCAAAACCAUGAGGUGGCGUACACAGCCCCUAAACUUUCCACAUAUUGUCAUAUGAUUAUUCAAGAUAAUUUUCCCUUUGGGUUUGCAUUAUGAAACUCAACCAACUUUGGUAAUAUAUUCACCGGUGGGGGAAAUACAAUGAUUUGAAUGAGUGUAAAAUAGAGUAUGGGUUUUAUCUAUCUGGUGCCAAAAACAGAACGUAGGGCCAGAGGUAGGAAUUAAAUGAGGCAGAUUUCAAUAUAAAGAAAAUUUUAAAAAAAUAAACUUGAAAAGGAACCCAAUGGCUGGUGAAAAGGAGGGUUUCUUCACUCAUAAGUGUUCAGGGAGUGUGCCCUCCAAUGGCACCCUAGAGAAGAAAAAUGAACUGGCUGUGAAGAGGAGUUGACUGCCAAGAUUCUUUCUAAAUCUAAAGUUCUGGAGCAGUUUAAAAUACUCCUUCUAGCCUUCUCCAUUUUUCCUAGACUGCAACAGAAACCUCAGAAUGAUUAUUGUCUCAAUGGACGGAUCCGGCAUCAUUCCUGUUAGUUAUUGUUUGACUCUUAGUUAUUGUUUGACUCUGAUUCCAGGUACCCACCCACCUCUGUUCCUGGCUGUCAAGAUGAUAAUAAUAAUUACCAUCCUUUCACUCACAAAUGAAGCCCAGUCUAGCCUGCUGGAGGACAAAAGGCCACGUAGAGAUGGACCAAGGUGCCUUGGCCAACAGCCAGCACCCACUGCCAGAUAUGAGAGAGAGGCCAUCUUGGACAUCCUAGUCCUGUUGAACUCAGAUGACUGCAGCCACAGGAGUGAUCCCAGAUGAGUAUAAGUAACACUGCACCUUAAUACCUAUGGAAUGAUGCAGCUGAGGUCAGCUGGAGGUAACAAGGCCAGUUCCUGGAGACUCUGAUUAGGUGAGUUCUAGAGAGAUGAGCAUUUGGGAGGACAGAUGGGCUGAGCCGAUACAAUGAAAUACUACUCAGCAAAAAUAAACAAAUUAAUUUAAAAAAGGAAUGAAUCAUCAAAUAUCUCAGAAACAUUAUACUGAGCAAAAGAAACCUACAUCUAUCUGCUUCCAUUCCUACGAAGCUCUGGAGCAGGCAAACUGAGCUCUUAUAAUAAAGUUAGAAACUCAGGGGUCAGGGUGAGGAAUUGAUGGAAAAGUGUCUGAGAGAAAUUUAUUGGGUGAUGGACACUUUCUUUAACAUGACUGAGAUCUGCAUUAUACAGUCUGCUAUUUGUCAAAACUCGCUGAACUGCACCAUUAAGAUUUGUGCGCUUCGGCCGGGCAUGGUGGCUCACGCCAGUAAUCCCAGCACUUUGGAAGGCCAAGGCGGGCGGUAUCACCUGAGGUCGGGACGAGACCAGCCUGACCAAUAUGGAGAAACCCUGUCUCUACUAAAAAUACAAAAAUUAGCCAGGCGUGGUGGCACAUGCCUGUAAUCCUCGCUACUUGGGAGGCUGAGGCAGGAGAAUCGCUUGAACCUGGGAGGCAGAGGUUGAGGUGAGCCAAGAUUGUGCCAUUGCACUCCAGCCUCG
rnacentral:lncRNA from 10 species